rnacentral:tRNA from 1 species
GGAUUGUGGCUCAGCGGUAGAGCGCUUGCCUAGCACAUAGGAGGCCCUGGGUUCAAUACUCAGCACCA